AAGCGAAACAAGCAAGGCGCUGUAUGCCUUGCUUGUCUGUUCGGCGUGGUUGCCGAGCACUGAUGAGCAGCCAAAG
rnacentral:hammerhead_ribozyme from 1 species